GAUCUUAUGGUCUAACUCUCAUGACGUUGGACUUUGAAUCCAGUAGCUUGAGUUCGGCUCUCUAUAAUACCU
rnacentral:tRNA from 1 species